rnacentral:misc_RNA from 1 species
ACGGUGUUCUGGGAGGAGUUACGCAGGCAGGGUUGUGGUUGCUGGCUGUUACCAGGACAACCGGAGGCGAUUGACCGUUAUCUGCGGUUUGGAGCCGUUAGCGGGAGAGGCAGAGAUAUUCAGAGGUCUUUUAGGAUGCGCUAAAGGGUCGUGAGGGCUCUCUUAAAAUUUUCUUCACAAGCGGUUAUCCAGUCGUGCCCCGCGGCCCUGCUGCUGGCCCCGGGGAUCUGAGUCGUACCCUCUUGUUUUUCUCUGAGUCAGUCUUAAGGUGAAAUGAAGUGUGGCCCAGUGGCUCCUCACUGUCGCUUCUCUAGUUUUCUGCCUCCUUUUAGAAAAUUGAAUUGAAAAGACAGGAUGAAGUGGACACAGCAUGUGAAGACAAUUCUUUCAAGAAGUUUGGCUGUCAAGGAAAACAGAGAAU